AUAUCUGCUCCAUUCUCAGACCCACGCCUCCGCCCCUCGACUCUGCCAGCCGCCGCGUCGCCGCCGCCGCUGAGUUCUCGCGCCGCCAGCGGACGGGCGCCCCGAGCCGCCGCUGUCGCGCCUCAGCAGCUCUUGCCUUGCAUCGGGAGGAGCUGGGCCGAGGACCUCAGCCGCCCCAUGCGCUCGAGGGCGCCCUGCGAAGAGCGCCAGGAGGCGCGCCGGUCGCCGCCAGUCGCGGGUACGGCCACCACUGUCCUCUUCAUUUUUCCUUCCUGCCGAGGAGACUCGUUUGCCCUUGAUUCUCCCCAAUCGUGAGCAGAGGAGGCGGGUGAUGUGCAGAGACUGGGGGACAGAGGAAGCGCAGGGACAAUGCGAAGGAGAACCAGAAUGACAAGGCCGGCAAAGGCCAUGCUGAUAGAUGUGACCAUGGGUGGGGAGUAGGCCAGGAAGCAGGGCGACGAGGGAGGGGCCGGCUCACUGGCUCAGCUUGCAGAUUCGGCGCCGGCGUAGUCCUCCACGAAAGCUGCUGGCCAAGCAGGGCACUUUGUGGGAUGAUAGGCUGCUCCUGGAAGAAAACGAGGACAAUAGCAUCACUCCCACAUGUGAGCUCCAUGCUCAUCGUUUGUUAAUUUCCUAUAGAAAAUGGUGAGAUGCAUAUUGUUCAACUUGUGUAGAUUUCUCUGAAAAUCUAUGGAGAAGUUGAAUAUGACGAGGAUGUGUAUUGGCUAUUUUUUAUUUUCUUGCCAUAUUCUCCAUAUAUAUGCAUAUUUGGAGUUCUUAAUCGAUUUGGCCAGUUUGUUAAUCAGCUCAUUAAUGUGUUUUGAUGUAGGAAGGAUUAUGUUACCAAUAUCCAGAUGCACACUUAUGUCUGAAACUCGUUAAUUAACAUGCCUUGUUGGCGCUGAGCUUUUGUGAUGAGUGGCAAAUUGCAUAAAGGAUCCAAAUAGUUAUUCCUCAGUUUUAGAUUGUUUUAUUCUUAGGAUUUCUGUAUGAACUUUUCCUCUUUGUAAAGAUUCUGAUUGUGCUGGUGCUUGAUGCAGCUGGUUCAGAUGAUUAAUGGGUUUUUCUUUGUAUGCGGAGAAGGAAAAGGAUAUAGGACAUGCUUUGGCCUUAUAGAAUCUGGUAUCCAACCAAGGAAGAAAUGGUUAGAAAUAAUGGACGGUGGUGGACGAUUUUCAGAGCAACCUCACCUGGUGAACAAUGGUGUCUUCCGAGCGACCAGCAAAAGGCCGCAGCAGCUGGUCGAUGGCGAAUGCCGCAACAGGUCGACUCCUCUUCUCUCUCCCGCCAAGAAGAAGUACCAGACAGCUGGGGAGGUUCCAGACCUUCAUGCAGGCAAAUUGGUGGCAAUUAGCAGCAAUGGACGAGGACAUCAGCUGUGUGCGCUCGAGUACCAGGAAGCAAGCCAUAAGUGUCUGCUCCAAGGUUGCCAGUUGUGAUUCUGGUCACUUUUCAAGCAGAGAAGCAUGAUGAAAAUUGGUAAGAACCACUUUUUGGUUUUCUCUGUGAUUUAAAAUGGCAUCGGAUCAUAUCAGUUUUCGAACAUCCACACCAAUGUAUACAUGUAUAUUUGUUCAGCCACUGCAGAGAUGAUUUUCCUCUCAAAUUGGGAAGUUCUUUUCUCUUAAAUAUUUCAGAAUAGUGCCUUUGGAGAUUCAGGUGAAGUUAUAGUUGCAAUAGAAAAAGGGAGAUGGGCCAAUAGCUUUCACUCACUGCCCUCACUAAACAUCUGUUCACUUGGGUUAAAAACUUAAGAUGCACUCAGAUGUAUAUGUGCCCUUGUCGGUGCGGAUUUUUCUAUUAUCAUCUUUCUAUGCAAAUAACUUUCCUCACUGUCUUUACUUAAGAACUGCUACCUGGGUUAAAAACUUAAGAUACACUUAAUGUCUAUGUCUCUUUCUUAGUGCAGAUUUUGUUAUGAUGGUCUUGCUAUGCUGAGAUGCUUGCUCAGAGCUCAUGGAUCAUGCACAAAGAAAUGAGGGAGAUAUUGAAGCCCUAAAGCUGUAAGCUUACACAAAUGAAGAUGGUAAUAACCAUUUACUUAAGUUUGUUGCUUUGAUUCUUUGCCUAAUAUAAACAUGUCUGCCAAUGUUUAUUCCAGACAAAUGCAAGACAAGUUAAGUAGCCGGAAAAUAUUUUGUUCGCUUCCCCCUUCCGUUGCUUCUCUUCUUUAUCUACCUCCCCUUACUAAGAUCUAGAAGUAUUGUCAAAGACGAUCCAGAAGCAGACCUUGCUGAAGCCGAUUCAAGUUUGCAUUCGCCUGGCUUGAUGGACGAAGAACUGUUUGCGGAUCUCCCCACGCUUUCUGCGACACCCGUCGUCAUCUGCAGGCAUUGGAGGCUGCAAUCCUGUCUAUGCAUGAAACAAUGACACACUACGACGAGGAGGAGAUGCUAACUGCUAUUUGCAUCCACAUUCCUCUGCAUAUCCGAAUGCCCCACCUCACAACAA